UACGUAGGGGGCAAGCGUUGUCCGGAAUCAUUGGGCGUAAAGAGCGCGUAGGCGGUCCGGUAAGUCCGCUCUGAAAGUCCGGGGCUCAACCCCGGGAGGCGGGCGGAUACUGUCGGGCUAGAGUCCGGAAGAGGCGAGUGGAAUUCCUGGUGUAGCGGUGGAAUGCGCAGAUAUCAGGAGGAACACCCAUAGCGAAGGCAGCUUGCUGGGACGUUACUGACGCUAAGGCGCGAAAGCGUGGGGAGCGAACAGG
rnacentral:rRNA from 1 species